GGGUUGUUAGCUCAGUUGGUAGAGCAACGGACUGUUAAUCCGCAGGUCACAGGAUCGAAGCCUGUACAGCCCUCCA
rnacentral:tRNA from 1 species